AUUGAACGCUGGCGGCAGGCCUAACACAUGCAAGUCGAGCGGAUGAAGGGAGCUUGCUCCUGGAUUCAGCGGCGGACGGGUGAGUAAUGCCUAGGAAUCUGCCUGGUAGUGGGGGAUAACGUCCGGAAACGGGCGCUAAUACCGCAUACGUCCUGAGGGAGCAAGUGGGGGAUCUUCGGACCUCACGCUAUCAGAUGAGCCUAGGUCGGAUUAGCUAGUUGGUGGGGUAAAGGCCUACCAAGGCGACGAUCCGUAACUGGUCUGAGAGGAUGAUCAGUCACACUGGAACUGAGACACGGUCCAGACGCCUACGGGAGGCAGCAGUGGGGAAUAUUGGACAAUGGGCGAAAGCCUGAUCCAGCCACGCCGCGUGUGUGAAGAAGGUCUUCGGAUUGUAAAGCACUUUAAGUUGGGAGGAAGGGCAGUAAGUUAAUACCUUGCUGUUUUGACGUUACCAACAGAAUAAGCACCGGCUAACUUCGUG
rnacentral:rRNA from 1 species